GAAUCAUUUGGUGGGAAGGAAGGAGCUCACUUUUCCCUGGGCUACAUCAGUGAAUUCAAUUUCGAUUGAAGAGAGACUAGCAUUUUAAAAACCACUGUGUGUGGAGCUUCGAGUCCUUUUCUUCUUUCGAUGGGGAAACCAAGGCUUAGUGAGUUAAGGAGACUUCGCAAAGCCUUGACCAACACCAGUAACAAAUGAAGGCCUUUUAGAUUCAGAAGAUCCUGACAAAGACUGAGAGUUGAGCAGGAAAACUUGAGCUCUCUGCAUUAAAAGGUCUGUUACAUUUCCCAGAAUGGUUCCCAGUGCUGGAGAUAAUUCCUUUUCGGAGAACCUACAUUUCUCACCUGCUGAUUGCAAUUAGCCACUACCAGCUGGGGCCUGGUGUGCAGCUGAAAAGCUAACAAGAAGUGGAGACCACGCGGAACUCAGACAGGGCAUAGGAUGUGCAUAAAUAAGCAACGGUGCCUGUGUUUAUGAGAUGCUCCUGUGAAUUCGAGGCUUCCCCACCCUCUGCAUAACUCUCCCUCUUCUGGCUUUGUGCUGCACACCCCUCCCCUAACUAUAUUUUUUGUCUCUGGUUUUGUAGCCUACGUUUAACAUCACAGUCACGAAUUUACCACUAAGUACAUUUUGUUAGGCAAUAAACAGCCUUGGAAGAAAAAUGAAAUCCGACUAGGACUUCUGUUCUAAUAAUGUCUGUGAGCUGUGGUGGAUUCAGGCAGGCCCCACAUGCAGGUCUUAGAGCUAACCUUGACCAUGAGGGCUAGUGGGGCUGGGAGAGGGCUCAGGGACCCCAAUUCAACUCCCUUAUUUUAUGGGGGAGGAUACUGAAUCCCAGAACGGGAGCAUGGCCUGUCCAAAGUCUUAAAGGAAGUCACAGGACUGGAU
rnacentral:lncRNA from 1 species